UGAAGCAUCUUCAUGAGAAUCAAAAUAGAAGUGAGACUGAAGCCGAACAUGAACAUAAUUUUAAUGAAACUACUCCUUGUCCAGUGUCCGCUGCAGCACCACGUGGGUACACCGGUAUCGAUCAGUGCCUGAUGUUGUUUUCUGUAUAGACAUUUUAAAGACCAUGACCCUACAGAUGUUAAUUGGUAUGAUGGAAGAAGUAAAAUUUUUGCAGAACAGAUUUUUUGUAUGCUGUGUCCGUGUCAGAUACAUAAGGUGAAGCAAGCUAUGAACUAGACAGUGUAUUCAGCUUUCUCUGCUGAAAUAAUGUGACCAAAUCAAGUGUCACCUGGAAAGAGGAAUGUCAAGGGUGAUUUUUACAUUAACUCCAAAAUAGCCAUUGGAAAGUUCACGCCAGAUCUGCUACAGCAAACUGAACAUAAAGUGGCAUACUUGUUUGUCAGGAAACGAGGAACAUGUAUGGCUGGACUGAGAAUCUAACAGGAGAUCCCUGCAUCACUACUUACAUAUCCCAUGGAAAUAUAGGGUCACUAAUCAAGUGUCAUCUGCAGUGUUACAAAAGAAUAUUGGAUUUAUAUCAAUAAGAAAAAGAAUUACCAGAAGGAGACAGUAAAGAGGAACGGACAUAUCACACCAUAAGACGAGCUUCAAAAUCUAAAUAUACAGAAUGAAUUUUGCUCACUGCAGAUCCUUGUGAAAGAACACCUUUGUUGUAUUGACAUAAAAACAACGGAAUUGUCAGGAUCCUUGAACAUGACGCAACUGGCUGCAUACGAUAGCAAUUAAAAAUGCAUACAUCCAUGUUUACAUUGAUCUUUGUUAGCCAGUAAGACAAAAAGCAAAAUAGCAAGUUUAUCCUAUUACCGUACACGUACUGAAUGUAUUCACUUUAUUUUGUUGAACUGCAU